rnacentral:rRNA from 1 species
CCUACGGGGGGCAGCAGUGGGGAAUAUUGGACAAUGGGCGAAAGCCUGAUCCAGCCAUGCCGCGUGUGUGAAGAAGGCCUUCGGGUUGUAAAGCACUUUCAGUGGGGAAGAAAGCCUUGGGGCUAAUACCCUCGAGGAAGGACAUCACCUACAGAAGAAGCACCGGCUAACUCCGUGCCAGCAGCCGCGGUAAUACGGAGGGUGCGAGCGUUAAUCGGAAUUACUGGGCGUAAAGCGCGCGUAGGCGGUCUGAUAAGCCGGUUGUGAAAGCCCCGGGCUCAACCUGGGAACGGCAUCCGGAACUGUCAGGCUAGAGUGCAGGAGAGGAAGGUAGAAUUCCCGGUGUAGCAGUGAAAUGCGUAGAGAUCGGGAGGAAUACCAGUGGCGAAGGCGGCCUUCUGGACUGACACUGACGCUGAGGUGCGAAAGCGUGGGUAGCAAACAGGAUUAGAUACCCCGGUAGUC